rnacentral:rRNA from 1 species
AUUGAACGCUGGCGGCAGGCCUAACACAUGCAAGUCGAGCGGGGUUUUCGGACCUAGCGGCGGACGGGUGAGUAAUGCGUAGGAAGCUACCCGAUAGAGGGGGAUACCAGUUGGAAACGACUGUUAAUACCGCAUAAUGUCUACGGACCAAAGUGUGGGACCUUCGGGCCACAUGCUAUCGGAUGCGCCUACGUGGGAUUAGCUAGUUGGUGGGGUAAUGGCUCACCAAGGCGACGAUCCCUGGCUGGUUUGAGAGGAUGAUCAGCCACACUGGAACUGAGACACGGUCCAGACUCCUACGGGAGGCAGCAGUGGGGAAUAUUGGACAAUGGGCGCAAGCCUGAUCCAGCCAUGCCGCGUGUGUGAAGAAGGCCUUCGGGUUGUAAAGCACUUUCAGUAGGGAGGAAGGGUUAAGUGUUAAUAGUACUUAACUUUGACGUUACCUACAGAAGAAGCACCGGCUGACUCUGUGCCAGCCGCCGCCGUAACAC